rnacentral:lncRNA from 1 species
AAUUCUCCGACCUUGCCUUUACGGUCUGUAGUAGUAAUAGCCUUCUAUUCUGUUUUUUAGUAGCAGCAUUCCCCUAUAAUCUUAGUAUGCAAUAUAUCCUGUGAGUAUAGAUUACAUCUAAACCUCUAUCUUCUGCUUCUUUUAGGGGCUUAAGAAAGCCUUUUAGUUAGAGAGUUAGAGAAACUGCUGUUAUAGGUAGUCGACUAAUUAUUGUAUGCAAGGGGUAUAGAGGAUAGAUAGCUCUUAUUA